rnacentral:rRNA from 1 species
GACGAACGCUGGCGGCGUGCCUAAUACAUGCAAGUAGAACGCUGAAGGAGGAGCUUGCUUCUCUGGAUGAGUUGCGAACGGGUGAGUAACGCGUAGGUAACCUGCCUGGUAGCGGGGGAUAACUAUUGGAAACGAUAGCUAAUACCGCAUAAUAGUAGAUGUUGCAUGACAUUUGCUUAAAAGGUGCAAUUGCAUCACUACCAGAUGGACCUGCGUUGUAUUAGCUAGUUGGUGAGGUAACGGCUCACCAAGGCGACGAUACAUAGCCGACCUGAGAGGGUGAUCGGCCACACUGGGACUGAGACAGGGCCCAGACUCCUACGGGAGGCAGCAGUAGGGAAUCUUCGGCAAUGGACGGAAGUCUGACCGAGCAACGCCGCGUGAGUGAAGAAGGUUUUCGGAUCGUAAAGCUCUGUUGUAAGAGAAGAACGAGUGUGAGAGUGGAAAGUUCACACUGUGACGGUAUCUUACCAGAAAGGGACGGCUAACUACGUG